rnacentral:misc_RNA from 1 species
GAUGAAGAACGUAGCGAAAUGCGAUAAGUAAUGCGAAUUGCAGAAUUUCCGUGAAUCAUCGAAUCUUUGAACGCACAUUGCGCCCCCUGGUAUUCCGGGGGGCAUGCCUGUUCGAGCGUCAUUUCACCACUCAAGCCUCGCUUGGUAUUGGGCAACGCGGUCCGCCGCGUGCCUCAAAUCGUCCGGCUGGGUCUUCUGUCCCCUAAGCGUUGUGGAAACUAUUCGCUAAAGGGUGUUCGGGAGGCUACGCCGUAAAACAACCCCAUUUCUAAGGUUGACCUCGGAUCAGGUAGGGAUACCCGCUGAACUUAAGCAUAUCAAUAAGCGGAGGA